rnacentral:lncRNA from 1 species
GGACGGGAGCCGCUCCCGGGCGGCACACAGCCGAGUCCCUCCUCCCCUCCCCGCAGGCAGCCUGUGCCUUUUCUCCAAACGAAGACAGCACUUUGAAAAUUCUUUCAAUGGAUUUUUUUUUCCUUGAAAGAUCGUACUGGGGGAAAAUGAUACUUCUAUUAGUUACAUAUUCUCCAAUCGCAUACUCGCACCCCCCUCGUUUUGAGAUCGCUCCCCUAGGCAGGCUCAGGCGGGCGCGGAGCCGCGCGGAGUGACAAAGCCGCCGCUGCCGCCGCCGGGGGUGGGAGCCGCGCUCGCCCGCCCGCCCCUCGACUCGCGAGGGCGUAAAAGUUUGUCUCAGCUCGAGCAUUCCUAGCGCCAACACGCCCUCAGGUAAAGGUGGAAGUAAAUGGCCACGCUGUAUUGACAGAGCAGGUAGAUGAAACUCAAGAGAAAAGGUGUGGAUAAAUGAAACUAGCCCAUGAUGAACCUGUUUUCUCCGUGACCACAAUAUUAACCAGGAUGAAUGGCGGUGGCAGUGGGCCUGCAUCACAGGUUGCAGCAGAUGUUCUCAAUAUUUCUAUUAAAAUUUCCUUAUUUCCAUAUGCAAGAGGAGCCCCAGAGCUGCAUCCUUAUGGUAGCUACCAUGCCGUGAUGUAAGCUGCCAUUCACUGGGGAGCUUUGGCAAUAGAAUUGGCUAGAUCAGGAAGCCUAUGUCAACUAUGGAACAACAACUUGCAGCUCAUCUCUAUUGAUGGUGAAACAGUCGCAAAUGGAAUUCCAAGAAACAUUCUAUCAUCAGGUAUUAUCUACUGCUGUCUGCAGAAUUCAGACAUGGAGGGCUCAAUGGUGUCCCCUGGUCUUUGGAACAUUCUGUAUUUUAAUGAUCAUGAUACACUGCCUCUAGGACUGGGACAGAUAGCCACUGAGUACCUGCUUCAAAUCACCCUGCACGUUUUCUCUUUGGAAAGAUAAGCACUGGAGAACCAUCUCGUUACCUUCAGCAGAAAUGGAAACAAAUCAAGACAUUAAGAAUGCCGCAGUGGACAGCAGUUAUGCAAGGUUCAGCAGAGGAAGUUUUCAAGAUGGUGUGCCUCACUAGCCAGAAAUCAGAAAAGAUCGAAGCUAGCCUUUUCAUCUCAGCUGCUCCUUAAAUCAGUGCAACCCCUCCAAAUUAAUGUGAAUUGAAACUUGCAUUGCUUUUCAACUUAAUUGAAUACUUACUAUAUGUGAACCACUGCACAAAAUAGGGGAAGAAGAUGUGGGAGACAAAGAUGUGGAGCCUGUCUUCAAUAAAUUUACAGUUAGUUUCAGGGUACAUUGUUUUUCUUCUGCUGUUAAUUAGGUGUAUCCCCAAGACAAUAAAUACAUGAAUGGAAAAGUAUAUUCUGUGUUUUAAGUCUCUUUAAUAAAAAACAAAACAAAAUCCAAAAAAACUCCUAACAUGGCAACUCAGGACAUUUUAAUCCUUUUUUUUGUUGUUGGGCUUCUGAUAGGAUCCAUUUUAUUGAUUCCAUAAAUAUUUAGUAGACUUUAGACAUAUUAAUACAUUGUAGUUUGAGUUAAUUUGCAUUAAAUUCUGUUUUUUUCCCCUUAGGUAUAGAUUGUCUGUUGGAAAAAUAUAUUGCUUGUGGAUUUCUUGGGGAGUGGGAAGGUGAAUUAUACCUGUUGUCUCUACAGUCCACUACCUUCCACACCCUAGGGCAGUGGUCCCCAACCUUCUUGGCACCAGGGAUCAGUUUCCUGGAAGACAAUUUUUCUGUGGAUGGUGUGGGGAUGGUUUUGGGAUGGAACUGUUCCACCUCAGAUCAUCAGGCAUUAGUUAGGCUCUCAUAACGAGUGCGCAGCCUAGAUCCCUCACAUGCACAGUUCACAGUAGGGUUUGCGCUGCUAUGAGAAUCUAAGGCUGCCACUGAUCUGACAGGAGGCAGAACUCAGGUGGCAAUGCUUACUGGCCCACUGCUCACCUCUUGCUGUGCGGCCUGGUUCCUAAUAGGCCAUGGACCCCCACAGACGGGUACUAGUCUGCAGCCUGUGGACCCCAGCCCUAGGGGCCUGCCAUUCUGAGUGAGUUAUUAGCAUGAAGAAGAGGAAGAUCUGGAUCAAACGUGGGUGAUGGUACUCAGAGACCCAAGAUAGGAUAGGGAUGGAACAAAAUCCAUCUGGGCAACGGCUCUAUGAAAAUUUGGCUAAGUAAUUAUUUCAGUAUUCAUUGUAUUCAUUGUCCUUCGUGUUCCAUAAGUUAAAUGACUGUCUAAUUUUUCCAAAAAUUUAUUUCUGACUUGAGAAUAAGUGUGUCAUGAUUUUCCCAGUGUAAAGACACUGAUAUAACUGUAGAUACCAGACAUUUUAUGUAGUGUCUAUGACACAUUUUAGUAUGUAUGAGCCAACAAUAGACAUGUCUUUGUCUUGAGGAGUGUCCAUCUGAAUUGAAAAUGUGUCAGCUUUUUUUUAACAUCAUCAACAGACUUCUUAAUUAAGCUGCCAAUACAUACUGCCAAUAGCACUGUGUGCUGUCUGAGAAAUGCAUUGUGUAAGUGCUAUUUCCAUCUUAUUAAAUAAACAAUGUUGCUCUGUAUAAACUGGAUUUAAAGUGUUCUUUGAAUGAGGCAUUAUAUUGCUCCAUAAAUAAUGUGAUGUGAAUUCUCAUAUGAUCCCUUUUAACUUAAUUUCUAAAAAAAUAUUAUUUGCUCCUCAGUAAGGAAUAGCUCUAAUUGGACUGGUAACUUUAGUGAUAUGAUUUGUCUGUAACAGGCUGAAUCGCCCCACUCCCAAACUCCUGGUCGUGAUACUGGAUAUUUGUUAUGCCACUUUUAGUUUGCAUGAGGUAUCUUCCAGGAAGUAUUAGUUAUUAACUUGUGUUCUACUAAACUGUAGAUAUUUAUUUCCUGUUCUGGAAGAUUUCUUGGAGUGUCCAUCUGUGCAUUCCUGGUGCCUAGUGUAGUCUUGCUAAUGGAAUAGCACCUUUAUUGGUGCUACUUAGGGGUUGGUAGCUUACAAUCAAUCUACUUGGAACGUAU